rnacentral:lncRNA from 1 species
CUCGCUUUGAGCGGAGAUCUGAAAGCAUCGGCGAGCGAGCUGUUGGUCUCCACGCAUCUCUCCGACUCCGUUUUUGGUCGGAAACCGAACCAGGAGGUGAUACGUCGAAACUAUCGCCCUGAGGGCGUUUAGUCCGGGUCUUCCAAGUAUGGCGUUGUAAGCUGAAGACACUUGGACGACCGCAAAAGUCAAAUGGACUGUGCUUUGUCGUG